CCUACGGGGGGCAGCAGUAGGGAAUUUUUCACAAUGGGCGAAAGCCUGAUGGAGCAACGCCGCGUGCAGGAUGAAGGCCUUCGGGUUGUAAACUGCUUUUAUAAGCGAGAAACAUGAUGGUAACUUAUGAAUAAGGAUCGGCUAACUACGUGCCAGCAGCCGCGGUCAUACGUAGGAUCCGAGCAUUAUCCGGAGUGACUGGGUGUAAAGAGUUGCGUAGGUGGCAUAAUAAGUAGCUAGUGAAAUCUGGUGGCUCAACCAUUCAGACUAUUAGCUAAACUGUUAAGCUCGAGACCGUUAGGGGUAACUGGAAUUUCUAGUGUAGGAGUGAAAUCCGUAGAUAUUAGAAGGAACACCAAUAGCGUAGGCAGGUUGCUGGGACGGUUCUGACACUAAGGCACGAAAGCGUAGGGAGCAAACGGGAUUAGAUACCCGAGUAGUC
rnacentral:rRNA from 1 species